CGUGACUCUGUACUUAUGUAUCCCGUCAUACUUUGAACCACACUAUUAUUUUAUUUAUUAUUAUUACUUUUACUGUUAAGUCAGUUUUUGUUAUAUCUAUUUUAAGGGACUGUAUUUAUGUAUCCCGUCAUACUUUGAACGACAAAAUUAUUUCAUGUCUACCUGUGCGAAUUUCAAACGCGCAAUUUUACACCAGUACUUAAAACCCUC
rnacentral:lncRNA from 1 species